rnacentral:rRNA from 1 species
UACGUAGGGUGCAAGCGUUGUCCGGAAUUAUUGGGCGUAAAGAGCUCGUAGGCGGUCUGUCGCGUCGGCUGUGAGAUCCCGAGGCUCAACCUCGGGUCUGCAGUCGAUACGGGCAAACUAGAGUAUUGCAGGGGAGACUGGAAUUCCUGGUGUAGCGGUGAAAUGCGCAGAUAUCAGGAGGAACACCGGUGGCGAAGGCGGGUCUCUGGGCCGAUACUGACGCUGAGGAGCGAAAGCGUGGGGAGCGAACAGG